AUGAUCGCGUCUAUAGGCGAGGCCCAUCCAUCCAGCGGUCGGGUCCACAUUUCUGCUGAUGCCUGCCCUGCCGUGAAUAAUUGCACUCGCUUCCCCUUGCUGCCCGUCACCACUGCCGACGCCUGCCUCCUCCUCCUCCAUCUCCCAUUCCCACCUUCCCGUCCCCCAGCACCGGCGGGACAUUCCUCCCGAACCGUCGCCAUGGCAACCGCCGUUCCACCGAUCAUCUCCCCGAAGGAAGAUCUCCCCCCUCCACUGACCUCCGCCUCCGAGCCCCCUCCGCUCUUCGACGGCACCACCAGGCUGUAUCUUGCAUAUCACUGCCCGUACGCGCAGCGCGCUUGGAUUACCAGGAACUGCAAGGGUUUACAACACGAGAUCAAGGUAGUUGCCAUAGAUCUGGCAGACAGGCCAGCUUGGUACAAGGAGAAAGUUUACCCGGAGAACAAGGUGCCUGCCCUGGAGCAUAACAACCAGGUGAAAGGAGAGAGCUUGGAUUUGGUCAAAUACAUUGACAGCAAUUUUGAUGGCCCAGCAUUGCUGCCUGAUGAUUCUGCAAAAAAGCAGUUUGCUGAGGAACUGCUUGCGUUCAGCGAUGGGUUUAAUAGUGCAUUUUUCUCAUGCUUACGCUCCAAGGGAGAUGUGUCAGAUGAAGCCGCUGCUGCUGUGGAUAAAAUAGAAGCUGCCUUGGGAAAGUUCAGCGACGGCCCAUUCUUCCUUGGCCAGUUCAGUUUGGUGGACGUUGCAUAUGUGCCAUUCAUUGAAAGGUUUCAAAUAUUCUAUUCUGGUAUCAAGAAGGAUGAUCUCGCCAAGGGCAGGCCCAACCUGCACAAAUUCAUUGAGGAAGUGAACAAGGUCGACGCAUAUACACAGACAAAACUGGACCCGCAGUUUCUGCUUGAUCAAAUGAAGGAGAAGUUUGGCAUUGCUUGA
rnacentral:rRNA from 1 species